rnacentral:rRNA from 1 species
GGUUUAAUUCGAUGAUACGCGAGGAACCUUACCCGGGCUUGAAUUGCAGAGGAAGGAUUUGGAGACAAUGACGCCCUUCGGGGCUCUGUGAAGGUGCUGCAUGGUUGUCGUCAGCUCGUGCCGUGAGGUGUCGGCUUAAGUGCCAUAACGAGCGCAACCCCUCUCCUUAGUUGCCAUCAGGUGAAGCUGGGCACUCUGGGGACACUGCCACCGUAAGGUGUGA